rnacentral:rRNA from 1 species
AUUGAACGCUGGCGGCAUGCUUUACACAUGCAAGUCGAACGGCAGCGCGGGCUCCGGCCUGGCGGCGAGUGGCGAACGGGUGAGUAAUGCAUCGGAACGUGCCCAGUAGUGGGGGAUAGCCCGGCGAAAGCCGGAUUAAUACCGCAUACGAACUGAGGGUGAAAGCGGGGGACCGAAAGGCCUCGCGCUAUUGGAGCGGCCGAUGUCGGAUUAGCUAGUUGGUGGGGUAAAGGCUUACCAAGGCGACGAUCCGUAGCUGGUCUGAGAGGACGACCAGCCACACUGGGACUGAGACACGGCCCAGACUCCUACGGGAGGCAGCAGUGGGGAAUUUUGGACAAUGGGGGCAACCCUGAUCCAGCCAUGCCGCGUGCGGGAAGAAGGCCUUCGGGUUGUAAACCGCUUUUGUUCGGGAAGAAAUCCUCUGGGCUAAUACCCCGGGGGGAUGACGGUACCGGAAGAAUAAGCACCGGCUAACUACGUG